UUUUACAGACACUGCUGCAGUAAAUAAUCUAUGCAUAUUUCGUAUCCUAAAUAUGCAAGAAUGUAUAUGUAGGAUCAAUUCCCCAAAGUAGGAUCAUAAAAUCAGAAGGUACCACAUUUAUAAUUUUCAUGGGUACUGCCCAUUUACCUUCUGUAGGAGCUGUAGUCUGUUACACUCCUGUCUACAGAGAAUGAGCUCACUGACAAAUAUAUCAUCACACUUGGAUUUUUGCCAACUAAUAGAUGACACAUUACAGUAUCUCUAUGAAGCAUCUUUUCAUGUUUAAGACCCAUUUGCAUUUCCUGCUUUCUGAAUGUUUUCUUCAUGCCAGUUUCUGUGUUGGUUUGUUGGUUUUUUUCUUUUCUUUCUUUCUUUCUUUCUUUUUUUUAUGACUGUCAUAGCUGAAAAAGAUAACUCAACCAAAAUAUGUAGAUGUAAGUAGAAGUGUACCAUUGGCUCCAUUUACCAAAUCACAAUUCUCAAUGUAUAUUUUUAGUUUUGCGAGGUUUUUGUUGAAAUUUGGCUAUUUCAAGUUUCACCUUCUUUAACGUUAAUUAGUUAUUUUAACCACAUAGGGUACCACGUUUUUAUACUUUUUGAGUGUAAAUGUCCCACGGUGAGAACUCUUACAGGCGAUACAUACAUUGUAUUCACAUAGCAAUGAGAAGUCAUUUUCAAAAUGUGCUCUUCAUGGCAGUUUCCCAUUCAUCAUAAAAACAUUUAUCUUUACCCUGAGAUAGCAGAUUAGGUAUUUAUUUUUUGGACUGUGUCUGAAUAUGUCCCACUCAGAUAUCCCAGGCUGCCUCCAGGGGACUUUCCCUGACUAAACUCUCCUGCCUAUCUUCCUGUAGCAUUUCAUUUGUUUUAUCAUUCAUAAAGAACUUAAUAAUGUAGUUGAACAGAUUUAUAGAAAACGGGUUUUUGUGACUUGGAUCUCCCCAGUGAAAUUGAGGGCUCCUUAAGGGGCAUGGGUCAUAUUUUGAUUCUUUGCUCCCUUUAGUGUAUGAGCAGAACAGAAUAGGGCUUGGGGUGAUGGUGGGAAGGCCGCCAUGGGCUGACCUGGCUCAUCCCCCACAUGGCUUCACAGGUGAGGCAGCUGCAGGAGGAUGCAGCCCGCCUCCAGGCGGCCUAUGCGGGUGACAAGGCCGACGACAUCCAGAAGCGCGAGAACGAGGUCCUGGAAGCCUGGAAGUCCCUCCUGGACGCCUGUGAGAGCCGCAGGGUGCGGCUGGUGGACACAGGGGACAAGUUCCGCUUCUUCAGCAUGGUGCGCGACCUCAUGCUCUGGAUGGAGGAUGUCAUCCGGCAGAUCGAGGCCCAGGAGAAGCCAAGGGAUGUAUCAUCUGUUGAACUCUUAAUGAAUAAUCAUCAAGGCAUCAAAGCUGAAAUUGAUGCACGUAAUGACAGUUUCACAACCUGCAUUGAACUUGGGAAAUCCCUGUUGGCGAGAAAACACUAUGCAUCUGAGGAGAUCAAGGAAAAAUUACUGCAGUUGACGGAAAAGAGGAAAGAAAUGAUCGACAAGUGGGAAGACCGAUGGGAAUGGUUAAGACUGAUUCUGGAGGUCCAUCAGUUCUCAAGAGACGCCAGUGUGGCCGAGGCCUGGCUGCUUGGACAGGAGCCAUACCUAUCCAGCCGAGAGAUAGGCCAGAGCGUGGACGAGGUGGAGAAGCUCAUCAAGCGCCACGAGGCAUUUGAAAAGUCUGCAGCAACCUGGGAUGAGAGGUUCUCUGCCCUGGAAAGGCUGACUACAUUGGAGUUACUGGAAGUGCGCAGACAGCAAGAGGAAGAGGAGAGGAAGAGGCGGCCGCCUUCUCCCGAGCCGAGCACGAAGGUUUCAGAGGAAGCCGAGUCCCAGCAGCAGUGGGAUACUUCAAAAGGAGAACAAGUUUCCCAAAACGGUUUGCCAGCUGAACAGGGAUCUCCACGGGUUAGUUACCGCUCUCAAACCUACCAAAACUACAAAAACUUUAAUAGCAGACGGACAGCCAGUGACCAGCCAUGGUCUGGACUGUGAAGUUCACUACCAUUUGUCAAGAAUCACCCUUUCCAAAUCCUCUGGGUUUUGACUUUUUGGCUUCCACUUCACCCAAAAUGUUAAAAUUUUUACUUAAUUCAUAGCCUUCCUUGGUUUCAUAUUUGUUUGCAUUUAAUUCAUGUUUGAGUCUCUUAACUGAUGGAUGCCCACUUGCCUUAAAGCAGCAUACUUAUUUUUUGUUUA
rnacentral:sRNA from 1 species